UGUCACAAGGGCAACUGUGACCAGGGGACCAGGUUGUCUCCUCCAGGUCAGAGCUGUUGGGGGAAGAGGAGACACCUGCUGGGGACGGCCUGGCGUCCUCAGGGAAUCACAGCCCACGUGCCCUGGAAAACACCACGAGUAUGGCAGUUGUGCCAGCGCCAAGAAAUCUGGAUGAUACGAACAGCAUUGAGCAAUCGACAGUAUUGCCUUCGGAUGUGCCACAUGCGAAACCAGGACUGUAGCCUGCCAGCGGCCCACGUUUCCCGGGCAUAGACCUCCAACGCCGCCCGUCGCCGCCUCUGCAGCAGGAUCAUCAGCGUCCGCCUCCACCAGCACUGAAUGACCCAGACUUGGAGCGCCAUGUGCAGCAGCGUGCGACGGAGCAGCGUGCCGCGCCACCAGGCCUGGAUCUUCCUGGCUGCCGCAUCCUUGUUGGAGGGCGGCUUCAUUUCCAGGGGGGAGGAGAGUUGAGGGGAAAAGAAAAGACACUCAGAAAGCA